CUAGGAAUCUUGGGAAUGGGCGAAAGCCUGACCCAGCAACGCCGCGUGGGCGAUGAAGGCCUUCGGGUCGUAAAGCCCUUUUGAGGGGGAAGAUGAUGACGGUACCCCUCGAAUAAGCCACGGCUAACUACGUGCCAGCAGCCGCGGCAAUGCGUAGGUGGCAAGCGUUGUCCGGAUUUACUGGGCGUAAAGGGCGUGCAGGCGGUUUGUUAAGUCUAGGGUGAAAGCUCCCGGCUCAACUGGGAGAGGUCCUUGGAUACUGGCAGACUUGAGGAGAGUAGAGGAGAGUGGAAUUCCCGGUGUAGUGGUGAUAUGCGUAGAUAUCGGGAGGAACACCAGUGGCGAAGGCGGCUCUCUGGGCUCUACCUGACGCUGAGACGCGAAAGCGUGGGGAGCGAACCGGAUUAGAUACCCCCGUAGUCCCUGAGCGGGCUGGCAAGGCGCAU
rnacentral:rRNA from 1 species